AUGCGAACUGAAAAAUAAAAGUUACAUGAUUAAUUCCAAUGAACGGAUUAAAAAGCAUAAAAAUUUUAAAAAAUCAAAUACAAAAUACAAAAUUCAUCUAACAAAAUACAAAAUGCAUUUACCAUUUUAUUUCUCUUUCAUCUAACAAAAUACAAAAUGCAUUUAAUUUGUCUUUCAAAUAAAAAUUUUGUUUUCAGACAACACAAAAUAUAAAAUUCAUCUACCAAAAUAUAAAAAUGAUUAGUAGAAAUAAAAAUAUAAAUUUCAAAAAUAGAAAAGAAAUAUGAGCCCCUUCGAUCACUAGGCAAAUGAUAUCGAAAAAUCGCAAAAUUUAUUUUCUAGGUACUUCAAAUACUCUAGAUCAACUCUAAUGGAGCCGAUCGUCGAUUUGAAAGUCUGAACAUCGAAAACAACUUCGAAGCACGGAGGCCUCCGUGCUUCCAUAAGCAUACCAGCACAACGCUAUGGGCGUGUUUGAUUCGUUUUUUUUCACCCUAGAAUCGGAAUCGGAAUGGGUGAAUCCGUUUGUGGGUGUUUGGUACGUGGGAGUCCCAUUCCAAUUUCGAUUUCCGAGUGGAAUGGGAAUCCCCCAAUCACCCUUUUUUUCAAUCCGGCCUAGGAGGCCGGAUUGGAAGUUGAAUCCAGACGGAAUGGAUAUUUAUUCGGAUUAAAUUUAUUUUUUCAACUUUUUUAAUUAAAAUAUGUGUUUAAAUUUAGAAAUUAAAUUUUAAAUUUUAAAUUUUAAUUUAAACUUGAAUUAAAAAUUAAAAUUUAAUCAAGUAUUUCGAAUCUUUAUGAAUUUGAAUUUAAAUUAAAUUUUAAUUUAUAUAAAGUUUUAUUCAAAUUUUAUUUAAAACUUAAAUUAAAUUUAUGGAUUCAAAUUAAAAUUUAAAUUGUAAUUUUUAAGUUUGAAUUUGAAUAAAUCGAAAUUUAGUUUUAUAUUUCGAAUUAUCUACUCAACUUCAAAGUUUAAUUUUUUAAAAAGAAUAGAUUUAAAAUUUUGACAUCAUUUCAAAAUUUUGAUAUAAAAUUUUAAUAUUUAAUUUUUAAUUUGAAUUUAAAUUAAUAUAUUAUAAAGAUAAAGUUAAUAUAUUAAUCUGAUUACGUUUUUUAUAUUUACCUGAAUCAAACACCGACAAUGAGAAUGAUUUAUUCCGAUUCCGAUUCAGGUGAUCAACUAAACAGAAUUCAGUAAUGAGUCAUUUCGAUUCCGAUUCCAGCUUAUUUUGAUUCCGAUUCUGAUUUCGAUUCCGACUUCGAACCAAACACGCCCCAUAUAUAUAUAUAUAUAUAUCAAAUCUUUUAUAAUUUAUUGAAAUGGAGAUAUUGAGUUGUACUGCCGAAUUUAAAUCAUGUCGAUAUUUUAUUGAUACGAUAAAACACGAUAUG
rnacentral:lncRNA from 1 species